AGUGAACGCUGGCGGUAGGCCUAACACAUGCAAGUCGAACGGCAGCACAGUAAGAGCUUGCUCUUACGGGUGGCGAGUGGCGGACGGGUGAGGAAUACAUCGGAAUCUACUUUUUCGUGGGGGAUCACGUAGGGAAACUUACGCUAAUACCGCAUACGACCUACGGGUGAAAGCAGGGGAUCUUCGGACCUUGCGCGAUUGAAUGAGCCGAUGUCGGAUUAGCUAGUUGGCGGGGUAAAGGCCCACCAAGGCGACGAUCCGUAGCUGGUCGGAGAGGAUGAUAAGCCACACUGGAGCGGGGACACGGUCCAGACUACUGCGGGAGGCAGCAGCGGGGAAUAUUGGACAAUAGGCGCAAGCAUGGUCCAGCCAUACCGAGUGGGUGGAGAAGGCCUUCGGGUUGUAAAGCCCUUUUGUUGGGAAAGAAAAGCAGCAGGUUAAUACCCCGCUGUUCUGACGGUACCCAAUGAAUAAGCACCGGCUAACUUCGUG
rnacentral:rRNA from 1 species